rnacentral:rRNA from 1 species
UACGUAGGGAGCAAGCGUUAUCCGGAUUUACUGGGUGUAAAGGGCGCGUAGGCGGGAUGGCAAGUCAGAUGUGAAAUCUCAGGGCUCAACCCUGAAACUGCAUUUGAAACUGUCGUUCUUGAGUACUGGAGAGGUUGACGGAAUUCCUAGUGUAGCGGUGAAAUGCGUAGAUAUUAGGAGGAACACCAGUGGCGAAGGCGGUCAACUGGACAGCAACUGACGCUGAGGCGCGAAAGCGUGGGGAGCAAACAGG